rnacentral:tRNA from 1 species
UGCGCGGACUGGGGGAGUUCGGCGCGGCGCAGGCCGUCUGGUACGCGGUCGUGGUGUUCGUCGUCGUGGUCGUGUCGCGCUUCGUGUGG